rnacentral:rRNA from 1 species
AUGCCUCCGCGCCUCCUGUUCCGCCGCCUCCUCUCCACCGCCGUCGCAGCUCCCGCUCCGGAGGCCGCCGCCGCCUCCGCUGCCGCGCCGAGGCCCACCGACCCGGCGCUGCUCGUCCGCCUCUGCACGAUCCUCUACCAGCAGCAGAACGCCCCGGACGCCGCCCUGCAGCGCCGCCUCUCCGCGCUCCCCCUCCCUUCCGCCCCCGCCGACCUCCGCGAGCUCUUCCUCCAGGCGUCCGCGCGGUUCCCGCUCUCCUGGCGCCCCGUGCAGCGCCUCCUCGCGCACCUCACCGCCCGCCACGGCUUCGCGCACUCCCCCGCCACCGCCGCGCGCUUCCUCGACGUCCUCGCCAAGUCCAGCAACGUCGACCUGCUCCACUCCACGCUGCUCGCCCUCCCGACCGUCCUCCUCUCCGACGCGGCCCUCCGCGCCGCCGUCCGCGGCCUCGCCCCCGCCCGCGAGGUCGGCAAGGUCUCCGCCCUCCUCACCCUCUUCCCCGACGCACAGCGCCCCCGCGUGCUCGCCUUCGUCGUCGACGUCGUUUGCUCCGUAUGCAAGCUGCCCGACGUGGCAGAGAAGGUGGUCAAGCAAGCCGAGCACCGGUACGGCCUCGCGCGCUGCGGCAGGUGCUGCGAGCUGCUGGUCGUCGCGUACUGCCGCGCGGGGAUGUUUGCCGACGCGUGCAGUUUGUGGAACGGGAUGGAGAAGCGCGGGAUCGAGCCCGGCGCUGCGGCAUACGAAGAGAUCGUGGUGACGCUGUUCAAGAACAACCGUAUCCCUGACGCCAUGAAGGUGUUCGACGGAAUGCGGAGGAGGGGAUUGUCUGCCGGCGGUGGUGGCGCGUGCUACCACGCGGUGGUUUCGUGGCUGUGCAAGGAAGGAAGGACCUGGUCGGCGUUCAUGGUGCUGGCCGAAAUGGUUAAGAGAGGGGUGGAGGUGGACGGAGAGGUGCUUGGGGAUUUGGUGUAUGGGCUCUUGGCGAGACGGAGGGUGAGGGAAGGGUACAGUGUUUUCCAUGGUGUCAAAGAGAAGGAUAUUGCACUGUACCAUGGGUUGAUGAAGGGUUUGGUGAGGAUCAAGCGAGCUGGGGAGGCGACUGAGGUGUUUAGGGAGAUGGUUACCAGUGGGUGCGAGCCAAACAUGCACACCUACAUCAUGUUGCUUCAGGGGCACUUGGGGAAGAGGGGCAGGAAGGGCAGGGAUCCAUUGGUGAAUUUUGAGAGCAUCUUCGUCGGCGGAUUGGUGAAAGCGGGGAGGACACUGGAGGCCACUAAGUUUGUGGAGAGGACAAUGUGGGGUGGAGUGGAUGUGCCGAGGUUUGACUAUAAUAAGUUCUUGCACUACUUCUCGAAUGAGGAGGGAGUAGCGAUGUUUGAGGAGGUUGGAAGGAGGUUGAGGGAAACAGGUCAUGUUGAUCUUGGGGACAUCUUUCUAACCUAUGGCGAGAGGAUGGCCACAAGGGAUAGGAGGAGGAGAGCGAUGAAUGGGCGUUUGACAGCAGUUGAAGAUUAUAGUUGCUUAUCAUCAUCUCAGGAGUCAGAAGCUAGGAGCGUGUGA